AUAAAAGUUUAUUUUAUGUUAGAAACAGGGCAGUGUAGUCCAGCUACUCUGUCCUCCCACAGAGACGAUAGAGAGACGUGAAGGAGUGAUGUUCCACAUCUGGAAGAAUAUUUAAUGCGUUUUAUGGUACAAAAAAAUACGAUAAAUCAGAAUCUUUUUAACUCGAGGCCCCAGCUGUUGGUGGAAGCGAGGAAGAUCCAUGUUUUGCACUAUUCAACGCUUUUAAUACAUUUUGAUUAACCUGGGUUU